GGUGGCCUGCAUGCAGCUCAUCAAUGCUCUGGUGACGUCUCCAGACGAGCUGGACUUCAGGCUUCACAUCAGGAAUGAGUUUAUUCGUUCCGGCCUCAGAGAGAUUUUACCGCAUCUGACAACGAUCAGGAACGAUGCUCUGGACAUUCAGCUCAAGGUGUUUGAGGAGCACAAGGAAGAGGAUCUGAUGGAGCUCAGUCACCGGCUGGAGGACAUCAGGAGUGAACUGGAA